CAGAAACAGCUCUGAGGAGACACUUUUUCACUAUGGAAUGACCUGGAAGAUCAACGGAUCAGGCCUCCUUGGCAAGAGGAUCGACCAUCCGCCUUCCGAUUUCACCCCUGUCUUUUAUGACCAACUCAUAAACAAGUCCUUGGAUAAACUUUUGAUUUCGGAGUGUAAUGGAGACAGGCGAUGCAUCUACGACUCCCUGGCCACAAACAGCACAGACACCGGGCUGCACACCAAGAUGCUCUUUAGAAGCUACCAGCAGAUGAACACCUCCAUCAAUGAGUACCCGCCUUUUAUAGAUGGUUGCCAGGAGAUCGAAGCUUACAGGGGGCAGACCAAGAGAAUUCAAUGUACCAGCAACUCUCAGGAUGUCACUUUCACCCUCAGAGGCCACAAUCCUGAUGUGAAGCUCUUUGAGAAUGGUACUCUGCUAUGGACACCAAAGGUGCUGGAGCCAUUCACUCUGGAGAUUCUAGCAAGAAAAGCCAACGUUAACUUGUCAUCUGUACUCCAGCCCAAGACUGUGGUCUGCUUUUGCAGUGCAGAGAACCAGUGUUUAUACAAUCAGACCAGAUGGGUGGGCAAUUCCUCCAUGGAGGUGGCCAGCUGCAAGUGUGAUGGGGAGACCUUCGGCCAGUACUGUGAACGCUCCAGGGAUCCGUGUGACGAGCAGUGCUUCCCGGGUGUGCAGUGCCAUCCUGGGGUGGGCUGCGGGGCCUGCCCUCCACACAUGACUGGGGACGGACAUCACUGUGCAGCUGUGGAGGACACUUUUGCCUGUUGGAACCAUUCCUGUCCUGUAAAUUACUGCUACAACCACGGCCACUGCUACGUCUCCCAGACACUGGGCUGCAAGCCCACUUGCACCUGUCCCCCAGCCUUCACUGACGACCGCUGCUUAGUGGCUGGGAACAAUUUCACUCCAACCGUCUCUAGAGAGCUUCCCCUCAGAAUCAUCCGGCUCAUUCUCACUGAAGAACAAAACGCCUCCGUCGCAGAUGUCAAUGCCUCGGUGGCAUACCGACUAGGAACCCUGGACGUGCGGGCCUUUCUCUGGAACAGUCACAUAGAACAAACCUCUCUCCCAGCAUCGGCCUCAGGAAAACCCAUUCGGCGUUGGGUGGUCGUCUCGGAGUUCCAGUACCGUCCUCGGGGCCCCGUCAUACACUUCCUGAAUGAGCAGCUGCGGGAGGCCGUGGUGGAGGCCUUCCUCUUCCCAGUGACCUCAGAGAGUUGGAAGAGUCAGGAGCCCCGCAUCGAUGUUGUCUUCCACCCCAUCUCCUGGGAAGAUGUGGGGGAUGUGAUGGCUCUGAACCUGAGCAUGCUGGAUGAUUACUUCAAAUGCAAUGGCUACAAGGACUAUCACCUUGUCUACAGCCCCCAAAGUGGCGUCACUUGUGUGUCCCCGUGCACUUUAGGCUACUGUGAACAUGGAGGCCAGUGCCAACACCUGCCUAAUGGACCCCGCUGCAGCUGUGUGUCCUUCUCCAUCUACACGCCCUGGGGCGAACAUUGUGAACACCUGAGUAUGAAACUCGGCGCAUUCUUUGGGAUCCUCUUUGGGGCCCUGGGAGCCCUCCUGCUGCUGGGGAUUGUGGCGUUUGUGAUCCUGCACUUCUGGCGCAGCUCCAGAACCAGGAGCUCCUACCCGCUGGACUCGGAGAGUUGAGAACUCGCCCCGAAUGGGCAGCUGUGGCCAAAGAUACCUCAGGACCCACCCCAUCCUCAAUACUCACUUCAGGCACCAUUACUUCAGGGAGACUGGAAAGGGAAAGGUGAAAGUUGGUGACUGGGGAAUGAAUAAUGGGAAUGAAGUCAAGACUGUACCUUAUUAGGAGACCCAAGGGCCCAGGCAGGAGCCAUAAAGACCAAAGCAUGUAACUGGUUGGGUUCUCUCACACAGACAUACAUAGGCUUAAGGAGGACACUGGCCCACUGUGAAUGUACACACACACACACACACACACACACACACACAGGCAGUGAGUUGUUAAUGGGGUGACUUGCUCUAAGUUAACAAAAGUGCUUUUGCCAAAAUUCUCUGGUUUACUUCUGAUUAAAGUCUAU
rnacentral:lncRNA from 1 species